rnacentral:lncRNA from 10 species
UCUAGGAGCUGUCAGAUUAAACCCCCAGACCCACAAGAAAAUCCCUGAAGCUUCGUUGACUUUUGCUGAUGGAGCCUCUCUGAAGGGCAAAUUCAAAGUACAGCUGGGUGCUGCAGCACUGGAGUGCGAACUUGUGGCUGUGGUUAUGAAGGAGCCUCGUCAGCUAUGCCUUUAGCCCCUGGUGAAGCAGUGCCAGUCACACUUUGCCAGUCAAACGGAGAGGCAGCAGUAGUAAGACCAGACCAAAUCAAACCAAACCAAGCAAACCACGGGGAAUGGAGAUUAUUGCCUGCUCCUCCAAGCCCUUCACUGUAGAAUGGAAGCCUGUGAUUUUCCUGGCAUCAUGCAUGACUGAGAAGGUCAGUGUGGCUAAUUCUGAGCUUCAACAUCAGGAAACCCGUAGUUCUUCACACUGAGCCGCCUCCUGCAGCACAGUCAUCCUUGGUAAUAAAGCUGAUAUUUUAAUCAAUA